CAGCUGCGGGGUGUGAGAUUAAUCCCCGCCGAUUAGCGCCAGGUGUACUAAUCCCUGGAUGGUUCCCUGACCAGAUGAAACAUCAGCCGAUGUUCUAAUGCCCGUCCCCUGGGCACUGUCCCCGAGAGGGAAAACCUGUUUUCUGACCCCGGCUCUAGUCGGCCUCUGGAGAUCUGCAGCUGGGUUAUUUUACUUCUGAAACGGACGACACCUGCCCCGCGCACCCCAGCGGCUCCUCCACACGGAGAGAUGGUGUCAGUCAAAGGCCGUCUAGAUGACGAGUUUAUGAAAUUGUUCCUGGCCCGUGCCGGGCACGACCUUGCAGAGAGCCCAGAAGAUGAAACCCCAGCCCUGCCAGGAGCUCACCUGCUAAUUAGGAGGACAACGAAUCACCUCACCUCCCUAGACUUUGCUUCUCCUUUAUUCAGUGAGGGAUUGGACUAGCUGGUCCUUAAGGACUUUUCAGAAAGUCUGGUUCUGGGAGAUGACCAAUGGGAUCAUCUUAUGCUAUGAGCUUUCCUGGAAUGACAGGGUAAUGGAGAGUGAGGAGAUUUUACCUGAUAUGGUCCUGUUUGCACCGUCAGCCAGCAACCUUUCUGGGAAGCAUGCUUAUUAUGUACCAACAUAGAAGCUUGAAUAUAAGGUAUGCAGUCCCAAUUUCCUGAUCUCAGAUUGAAAUGUUCAAGCUGUAAAUUCAAAGAACCAUGUAAUGGCCACCUAUCUUCCUCAUGUAUCACGUACAUUGGCCACACCUUAUUGCAGUAGAUUAUCUUUUUUGUCGUAGGGUUAUCACUGUAGGCUUACCAGUCAGCCAAUAUGAACCACAGCGGGCUCUGAGAGGGGAUUGAUGAAAAAAAC
rnacentral:lncRNA from 1 species